rnacentral:snRNA from 1 species
GUGCUCACUUUGGCAGCACAAAUAUUAAAGCUGGAACAAUACACAGAUUAACACAGCCCUUGUGCAAGGAUGACAUGCAAGUUUGUGAAGAAUUCUGUAUUUUU